AAUGUAACAAAUGUAGGUACUUCCACUAGUAAUAUCUGAAGAGGAACCUGAUGGUGGUGCCCAAAGGACCCAAGGAAGCAUUAAACUGUUUGAAGACUAUUUACUGUCAGGAACACAAUGCAUCAUUAGCACCAUAUUAGUGAACUCCUAACAAAAAAAAUUGGAGGAUGGAUAGCAGCUCCAUAUUACCGGGCCUUAGAAGAACAGGGCUUAAAGCUUACAAUAGAAUUAGGAAGUAUCAG